rnacentral:rRNA from 1 species
UACGUAGGGUGCAAGCGUUGUCCGGAAUUAUUGGGCGUAAAGAGCUCGUAGGCGGUCUGUUGCGUCUGCUGUGAAAACUCGGGGCUUAACCCCGGGCCUGCAGUGGGUACGGGCAGACUAGAGUGCGGUAGGGGAGACUGGAAUUCCUGGUGUAGCGGUGAAAUGCGCAGAUAUCAGGAGGAACACCGGUGGCGAAGGCGGGUCUCUGGACCACAACUGACACUGAGAGACGAAAGCCAGGGGAGCAAACGGG